rnacentral:misc_RNA from 1 species
GAUGAAGGAACGCAGCGAAAUGCGAUAAGUAAUGUGAAUUGCAGAAUUCAGUGAAUCAUCGAAUCUUUGAACGCACAUUGCGCCCGCUAGUAUUCUGGCGGGCAUGCCUGUCCGAGCGUCAUUUCAACCCUCAAGCCCCCGGGCUUGGUGUUGGGGAUCGGCGAGCCUCCGCGCCCGCCGUCCCCUAAAUCUAGUGGCGGUCUCGCUGUAGCUUCCUCUGCGUAGUAGCACACCUCGCACUGGGAAACAGCGCGGCCACGCCGUUAAACCCCCAACUUCUGAACGUUUGACCUCGGAUCAGGUAGGAAUACCCGCUGAACUUAAGCAUAUCAAUAAGCGGAGGA